ACUCGGGCAGUUACUGGACAGAAAAUCAAUUUUGGUCAGGGUUAGACGGGCCCAAGACUUGUUCUUUGGUCUUAACUACAGUAUGUGAAAACUUCCAAGUAGACGUCAGAGGACUAAAAAAGCUUUUUCUUUUCUUAGUUCUUUAGGCUGGUUUGUACAGAUUUCUGCAAGUCUGGGGAACCUUAAAACUUCCAUCUCCUUUUCCAUUCUUUGAGUUAACAGCAACAUAUUGGUAGCUGAGCUUCACAAUGUUGAGCUCUCCAAGUUGUUUAGGGUGAUCUUUAGGCCUCAGCCCUUUUUGAAUCUUUGUUUGUUGUAAUCAAGUUCCAGAAGGAAAUGAGGUGCGAUCCUUAUUGCAAAAGAAUGAGGCAGGCUCUGGGGCUCAGUGAUUCACUUACUUGAUUUGAUUAUUAGUUUUCUGGUAACAAAUGGUUGGUGCUGGAAUGCUGAUUUCACAGGCACCCUCACACACGUUAGUAAAAUCAACAAGUGUGAGAGAAGCAUCCUCAAUUGUAAGUUAACAGUAACAACACGAUGCUCAUACAUGUCUUAAAGCUGGAACCCAAAAGCCAAAUUAUAGUGUAUGUUUUAUUUCUGAGCCAGUAUUCCUCAUGGAAAUGGGAAUAGUCCAAAUAGAAACAAAGUAACAGUGAAAAAGUGGGAAGGAUUUGCAGGGCAGAAUUUGGGAAUUUGAUUUUGAAGUAUGAAAACGAUGUCACUAUAAUCAAGUUUGAAUAACACAGAUGGGAGUGUGUCAAGCAGGAAACUGAAGGGAGCUGGGACAUCCGCGGCUCUUGCGGCCUUCUCUGUGGGUUUAUGACUUGGGACCUCCCUCCAUGCAGGCGAGGAGGACAUUGUUCAUGUCUUGUAGCUGGAGCGCUUCCUCCAUUCCUCACCGCAUGCUCAUAGGCCAAGUCUACACAGCACAAGAGAUAAAGGUCAUGAAGGCAAUAUCCCCUCCCCUUUGUUCAAAAAGUUCCAAAGAUUGGUUCCUGUUGUUGGCAAAAACAGAGUGACCUGUGUCUAGAAGUCUCAGGUGGUCACAGUCUGGUCUCCCAGUACAUACAAGGCGCUGGGUAAAGGGAGAAGCCGCGAGACAGAAGCCUGCAUAAUUUCUGCCUGCGAGGGAAGAACACUGGGGCCAUUAGCAACGGCAGCAGGUUUUUCUCCCGCAUCCCACGCUCUGCGCCUGAAUGCCGUGCCCGUGAACACAGACUUCAGCACACCUUGUCAUCAGAGGAGCUUCCUGGAAGCCAGCCAGCUGCAAGGCCCGAGGUCAAGCAAUCACCAUGACUAUCAGCCACAAGGAGAACCUUGAGGGACCCAAGGAGGUGACGGCAGGUGGAGAGGCAGUUAGUGAAUUCCGCAGAGCCGCUUGCUCGCUGCUGUGGCCUCGUCAGUGGCAGCGGCGGCUGUGACUGCCGGGAAGGUUUUAUCUACUGAUCAACACAGUGUGCCAGAGGGCUGAUGGGAUAGCCCGCUUUGGCAGAAGCUUCCAGUGGUAGCCUGCAACUAGACGGCAGAAGGAAAGGGGGAAAAAAAAAUCUAACAACAAACCAGCGGGAUCAGUUCCUCAGAGCACAAACACCAGUUUCAGGCCGUCCCCACUCCAUCCCCGGCUCUUGCAGCCACGGCUGCCUGCUUGCAUUAAUUACUUCUCAUUCCCAGCCGCAUUUAUUCCAAACUACCUUUAGGGUUCAAAGUGCAGGAACAAAAUGACUUGGGUUGAAAGCAAUUAACAAACAGGUUAUUUUAAAUUAACACACACUUUUACCAGCUGGCCCAAAGAGCUUGUACAUGUCAUGGCAGAGGUAGCAAUGCCAGAUAUCGCAUGAAAGGAGAAAUGGGUUUUUCUUUUUCUCUUUUUUUUGGGGGGACAAGAUCUCUGUCACCAGGCUGGAAUGCAGUGUCGUGAUCAUGGCUCAUUGCAGCCGCGAAUUCCUGGGUUUAAGCCAUCCUCCUGUCUUAGCCUUCAGAAUAGCCGAGACUAAAGAUUUAAUGUCAUUUCGCCUGGCUAAUUUUUUUAAAAUUAUUUUUUGUAGAGACAGAGUCUCCCGCUGUUGCCCAGGCUGGUCUCAAACUCUUGUUCUCCAGCAACCCUCCUGCCUCGGCCUCCCAAUGUGCUGGGAUUGCAGGCAUGAGCCACCCUGAUCAGCUGUGGGUUUUUCUUCUUAACUUUUUUUCUAGUGACAUGCACUAAUCGUAUUUUGGGAUUUAAACAUUUUGUUAAGACAUAUUUACCAGAGAGCUAAACCAAAGGAAAUAAUACCACUCUAAUCAUAUACAGAUUUCUCUCCGGUAUUUAUUAUCUCUCAUCUUUAUUUAUAUAAAAAGUAUGUUAGAGCUUCUGUAAAUGCAUUAUAAAUUUUAUGUCCGUUUUUCUGUUUCACUUUGAAUUUUUCUACCAUUUCUAUUUUAGUUGUUGUCAUUUUGGGGAGAUAUUUCUUUUUCCCUUGUGUUAUAGAUAUAUAUGGCUUUUCCUAUCUUGUAAGUGGGUACUUUUUCUAUGUUGUACUGUAUACAGUGAGAAUUUAACAAUAUUGAAUGAAGAAAUGAAUUGCCUCACAGAAUUUAAAAUAGGUAACUACAAGAGAAAAUGCCAGAAAUUUGUACCAAAUUUCUAUAAGGUAAUAAUAUGCUACCUAUUGCUUCAUAAAGGAUUCUCCAUAAUAGGUUACUCAACUGUAUCUAACAUUAUUUGAUUUACGUGCAACUUUUCAGGAACACUUAACAACAUAAAGUAGGAGAAUGCCCAUUGGGUGAUUGUGGGUGGUAAUGACACCUGGGGAGUAGUGAUGUUUUAGUGUCAUUUAUAGCCACAGUAAAUGCAUAUUGAUUAAAAUAUAUGCACAUGUGCAACCUGCUCUUCAAUCUAUUAUUUAGAUACACUAAGGGGAGGUGCUGCUCUUUGGGUUUUGUUUAGUGCCUGGAGCACUGUUGGUAGCAUUAAAAGUUAAGGACAGCAAUGUCUGUUUAGCAUGUGAUACAAAGUUUUCUUUUUACAAACCAUUGAACAGAAAUGGCAAGACAUGACAUGGCAGAUAAAAUGUGCAGAGAGAUUGUAGUAUCUUUAGCCUGGUGAAAACAAGUUUAGUAUAUUUGGUCAGUUUUUUUCAUUGAAAUUUUAUCUCUCAAUACUGGUCAGUACUGAGAGAAAAGGCCCACAAGGUCAUAUGUUAAGGCAAAUUAAACAGGCACCUUUGAAGAAUCAAUUAACCUCGAGGGUCCAAACUACUAGGCUAUAAGGAAAGUAAAAUAUUAAAAAAUACCACAUAAUAAGAUAUCAAGACUGACCACAACCAAACUGUUAAACUGAGGUAUCAUGAAUUUACUAUUAGCCAAUUUUAUUUUAUUUUAUUUUACUUUAUUUUGUUUUUUGAGAUUCAGUCUCGCUCUGUCGCCCAGGCUGGAGUGCAGUGGUGCAAUCUUGGCUCACUGCAACCUCCACCUCCUGGGUUCAAGCAAUUCUCGUGCCUCAGCCUCCUGAGUAGCUGGGAAUACAGGCAUCCGCCACCAUGCCCCAGUAAUUUUUGUAUUUUUUUUUAGUAGAGAUGAGGUUUAACCAUGUUGGCCAGGCUGGUCUCAAACUUCUGCCCUCAAGUGAUCCGCCCACCUUGGCCUCCCAAAGUGCUGGGAUUACAGGUGUGAGCCACUGCACCCGGCCUAUUAACCAAUUUUAAAUUUUAUUUUACCAGCUGGAUUUUCAGUGGGGGAAAGUUAGGCCCUUUGGAAAAAUGCACUGGCUCUUUUGAUACAAACAAUGGCAUUGUGGUGGCCAACCUUCUAAGAGAAAGGCUUGCGAUAACAAAAUCGAGGCUCUUGUAGGGCGAUAUGGCUGAUGGACUAUUUGACAAAGAGAAAGCCUUUUACCUGUAUGAGCCUCUGCUCCUUCCUCUGUAGGUAAACAGCAUACUCCUACAAUGAGACUCUCUUCAUUCCCUUUAGGUUUAAUAGUCUAUGAUUCUAAAUAAGCAACUUUAUGCAGAGAAAUAAUUGUGUUCAACAAAAAGAUUGCUAGGUUCACCAGAGAAAUGGAUGGACAGUCCAAAAAUUAGUACAGAGAGUCCUGGAGUAAAAGUUAAGAGACCUGGGACGUGUUUCUGCCUUUGUUUCUGACUGCCCUUCAUUUUUCAGCUUAAAAUGUAAGAUAUAGCACAACCUUUAUCUCAUUUGUCUGUGCUAUAAAGACAAAUACAAUUUUCUAUAUGGAACAAAACAACCCCCCCACCCCCGAACUGUAGGUUCUUUUGGAAAAAUACGCUAUAGCAAUUUUUAUAUAUAUAUACACACACACACACACAUUAUGCAAAAAUGAUACUUAGGGGUGUGUGUGUGUGUGUGUGUAUAUAUAAAUGAUACCUAGGUGUGUGUAUAUAUGUAUACACACACAUUAUGCAAAAAUGAUACCUAGGUUUUGGUCCUAUAGGGCACCUGAUGUUGUAGUUCUUUGCUUUCAAAACAUACCAGAUCUCCUUUAGUGGUCCUUUGUUUUCCAGAGCAUAAUGCUUUCAAAACUUUAAACUUAGUAAAAACAAUGUCUUAAAAUCAGGUCUUGAUUUUUUGUAAGUCACAUAAAUAAAUUUCCAGUCAGUAAAACAUGAUUGUUUUUCCGUCUUUCAGAUAACUAGAAAACAAGUAUCCUUAUUGAAAUACAGCCAAAAAUAGAAUUUGCCAUUAGUAUAAAAAGCUUUAGUCAGAUUCAUUUCAAUAUUUCCGUUUGUGUGGUGAUAUUAUUAAGCAGCCUCUUAAUAACUGAAACAUACAAACUAGAAUUGUUGUAAUACUAUGGCUUUCAGAAGGGAAUUACAUGCUUGUAUCCUCCAUGCGUGAGAUCCCAGCCGACCUCGGAGGUAAUCCCGUUCCAGUGCUCCUGACAAAGUGGACAAGGGGAACAAAACAGAUAGCAGUGAAUGAACAAUUCAGCGAGGCUAGCACCCAGUAUUACUAGCAGGGAAACAGAGGCAGGAAAAGUCACUUUCUCAAACUACAAGUGAGGGCCAGUUCUACCUCUGAAUCUUAGUCUUUCUGACACUGGUAUCACUGGCUGUUCCUGAUGUCAUCAUGUUGGAAUUGGGAGAGAAGAGUGGAAGUGGGAAAAGGCCAGCACGUGCUCUACCCUCCAGUUGAUCCCGCUGCAGGCAGAAUCUCCCAAUGGGCUUCCAGGGUUUACCAGUUUGC